rnacentral:rRNA from 1 species
CCCUUAGAUGUCCUGGGUCGCACGCGCGUUACACUGAUGCAUUCAACGAGCUUAUAACCUUGGCCGAGAGGCCUGGGCAAUCUUGUUAACGUGCAUCGUGAUAGGGAUAGAUUAUUGAAAUUAUUAAUCUUGAACGAGGAAUUCCUAGUAAACGCAGAUCAUCAAUCUGCAUUGAUUACGUCCCUGCCCUUUGUACACACCGCCCGUCGCACCUACCGAUUGGAUGGUCCGGUGAAGCCUCGGGAUUGUGGUUCUUGCCGCUUUAUUGUGGCGUGACCGCGAGAACUUGUCUAAACCUUAUCAUCUAGAGGAAGGUGAAGUCGUAACA